ACGGGUUAUUGAAAAUAAAUUCUAACCGAAAUAGUAUCUGAUUUUCACCAGGUACACGAAGCAUACAGUUCUCUGGAACAGAAUUUAUCUUGGCCUUUUGCAAACACAAGAACCUCCGAUCUACACCAGUCCUGACCAUCAUCAACGACAACGACGAUCCCAUAACAAGACCAUGGGAGACACCUGUUACCGACGGGCCGAAGGGAAUGACCUUCUGCAACAGUAACUACUGGAGAGUGUAUCUCUUACAGCGUGGAUUCUCAGUUGACCUGCUGUUUGGUCAUGUGCAUUGGUUCGUCAAUCAGUGAUGUGUGUCCAUUUUGAAUUAAAGGAAAUAGAUUGCUAUUCCAUAUCUUAGCAAAUUACUGUAACGGUUCCUCUGUAGAAUGCACUUCCUGAUGUAAUUCCUCUACAAGAAUGCAAUAAAUACGUCAGGCACAUUAA